rnacentral:rRNA from 1 species
AUGGAGCCAUGGACGCCACCUGCUCGUCUUGUCCUCCGCGUGCGUGCAUGCCGUCGCCAUCCGUUGACCUCCUCUGCUCCUUCGUGCGGAGCAGCACCACCACGGACCCUCGGCCCGAGCUGCUACUCACCACCGACCAACUCCGACCCAGGACAAGACCUUGCCAGGUCCACCCCGCUCCGGCCACGACACCGACAAGACCACUGCUGCAUCUGUACACCGCGUUGUUGCUCGUUGCAUGUCAAGACCGUCUCCGUGGAUUUACGCCAGGUACUACUACCGCCAAGUACCUCUUCGCAAGAUCAAGUACCUCUCCGAACGAACGUGAACGACUGCCGUCGCAAGAACGGGACCGGAAAGUUCGAAGACCCCAAGUACCACGACACCGAUGACAUGAACAUCUACGGAAUGUGUACGAUUACACGGUGUUGCGCCAAGUACCCCGACGGCCGGAGCCCUCGGAUCUGUCAAGCUCGUCUAUAA